CUGGGARAGACACAGGGAGAAGCAGGCGCGUAGACAGAAGUGGUGCCGUGGAGGCUAGUUAAUCAUUUCUGUUUUAUAGAUGGGGAAACUGAGGCACGGAGCAGCAGCGUUGCCCAGCGGGACAGGUGAGUCAGCCGGAGCAGCCUGUGCUCGGUAAGGCCCUGCCUGUCUUGGGACGCGCGGUGCCUCUCCAGGCGUCAGGGUCGCCUCGCGCCUUGUCGGCAUCCUGCCGGGCAGCACGGUUCGCCCGUGUCCCUAGUGUUAGCGUUACUGAAUCGUACCUGCAAUCCUUCCUCUCCUUCACCUCUCAUGGAAGAUUAGAGAGUGGAAAUUCGCCAUAUGGUUUCUUAAUGGGGAAGCUCUUUGCCUCCGUGAUGCUUUUAAUUAGGCACAGUUCGGAGCAGCCGCGGGCCCCAGCCGGGGGGCUGGCGGGGCACAACGCAGACCUCGGCAGGGCCGUAGCUCCCCUCCGGGCCCUUCUGCUUGCGGCCGAGCGCGAGGUGGGAGCGAGGGGGCGGCUGUGGGUGCAAACGGGGCUGCUGYGCCUGGAUAACAGCUUUUACGGCGCCCUCCUCCCCUCCAGCCCGCUAGCAAACGCACGAUAUUGUAUCUGCCUCGGUCCUUGCAUUUUCUCUCUGACUCUCUUUACGCCUCGUCGCCGGCAGGCACCGUCGCUGCGGGGGAAACGGCAGCGGCAGGACGGGCGCAGGCUGGUGGCGGCCGUCAGCACUGGCGGGCGGUGGCGGCCCGGCCCCAGAGGACGCAGAAGGUCUCCCAGCGCCGGGCGUGCGGAGGCAGAGUUUCGGGUCCGCAACCUCGCGUGCGAGGCGAGCGGCCCGGCCAGUCCCCUCCCGCCACGCAUCCGCGGCGUUUCGGCGAGCUCGGGCUCUGCAAGCGGGACGUGGCGGCAGCAAGCGCCCGUCCCCGGGUCUCUAACCACUCGCAGCAGCAUCUUGCGGCCCGGCAGGCGCAGCGGGCGAGCGCGGCACAAGGCAGCGCUGCCAGGGCCACCGCGUCCCCCCGGGGAAGCGUCUCAGCUGGCGCCUCAGCGCUGCCUCCCCAGCGGGCACGAGCCRGGGCGCAAGCGUCGAAACUCCCCAGCGCGACCUGCGCUGCCUACCAGGAGACGCCGACACGCCGCCUGCCGAACGGGGAGGACGCGUCGCCCGUGGCGGGGUUUGGCCGUCUGCCAUUCCUUUCUCGUCAGCGCUAGGUUUGCUAUGAUAAUUAGAUCUGACUUGUGCAUUAAUUKGUGCUAG
rnacentral:lncRNA from 1 species